UGUCCUAAGAAACAUGGUAGACUUGUUGAUUGACAAAGAAUUGGAACAUUGAUCCUAAACUUUAAACUCGACGCUCUGAUAGCUGAAAAUUCAACCACAUCCCUUUCUGUUAGUAUAUCAUAAAUUUCAAGCAUUUGCGUACUUCUUUUAGUUUAUCAAUAAUGCACAUGACAUGACCACAAAAUUUUGUUGGAGGUCUUUAUCCAUUUUAAAAUUUGAACUACUAAGAUGUUAAAUGAAUAGAAAAUGGAGUUUUUCAUUGUAUCAACAUGUACCUUCUUACUUGUUGAUUGCACUUUUGAAUUUGAAGUUUUCACCAGAGACAUACCAGUUAGAUUUGCGACAUAAUGAAAUGCCCCUUAAAGGUGUUCAAGUCUUGUACGAGACUGGUAACUCUGAAUGUAAGCAUGUUAUGUAGAAUUCAUAUCAAAUUAUUGACAAUUGUAGUUGACAUUGUGGAUAUUAACUAAAAAGCGAAGUAUUUCAUCAAAACACUUUAAUUUCUCAAUUUUUAUUUGACUGCAAAAACCAGAAUGAUUGAUUUUACACCUCUCUUCUGAUUGUCUAGUUGACAGUUUCUAUUGUAUAAGAAUUUAUUUGAUGUUUUUAUGUGAAAUCCUCAAGACAUUGUGUGAAAUCAACUCACAAGCUACUUGUUUUUGUGAUUCUGCACAUUAUGGCAGAGAUUUAAUGAGAUUCAGAGACUGCUUAGUAAAACUAAUGGGAAAGUUGUUGGCGAUAUGAUGACUCCUGAUCCACUUGUUGUUCGUGAAACCGCUAAUCUUGAAGAUGCCGUGAGGUUGUUGAUUGAAACAAAAUAUCACCGAUUGCCCGUUAUAGAUGAUGAUGGCAGGCUGGUUGGAAUUAUUACAAGGGGAAAUGUUGUUACAGCUGCCCUUCAGAUUAGACGUGCCAGUAAGAGGAUGCCACAUUUGAAGAUCAUGACCGAUUAAGGAUCUGGGAAGCUCACUGAAGAAAGACGGCAUUUGCUAGGACCAAAGUUGAAGGAAAAUCUUGUACCAUAAAGGGGCUAUGAAGGAAAUUUUUUCAACAUUUAUAGAAGAAUUGUAAUUUCUUAUGGAGGUUAA